ensembl:misc_RNA Metazoa_SRP Metazoan signal recognition particle RNA
GCUGGGCGUGGUGGUGGGCGCCUGUAGUCCCAGCUACUCGGGAGGCUGAGGCAGGAGAAUCGCUUGAGCCCGGGAGGUGGAGGUUGUGGUGAGCCGAGAUCGCGCCACUGCACUCCAGCCUGGGCGACAGAGCGAGACUCCGUCUCAA